AAAUUGAAGAGUUUGAUCAUGGCUCAGAUUGAACGCUGGCGGCAGGCCUAACACAUGCAAGUCGAACGGUAACAGGAAGCAGCUUGCUGCUUCGCUGACGAGUGGCGGACGGGUGAGUAAUGUCUGGGAAACUGCCUGAUGGAGGGGGAUAACUACUGGAAACGGUGGCUAAUACCGCAUAACGUCGCAAGACCAAAGAGGGGGACCUUUGGGCCUCUUGCCAUCAGAUGUGCCCAGAUGGGAUUAGCUUGUUGGUGAGGUAACGGCUCACCAAGGCGACGAUCCCUAGCUGGUCUGAGAGGAUGACCAGCCACACUGGAACUGAGACACGGUCCAGACUCCUACGGGAG
rnacentral:rRNA from 1 species